UCUGAAUCUGCGAACGGCUCCGCAAACCAGUUGUAAACUAUAGCAAGCAAGGAUUUCGAAUACGCCCUAGUGGUGGCUUCGAUUUCCUGUAUAUGGAUAACCCUGGUAAUUCUGAGGCUAAUACGAGUAGUUACUACCUGGCCGACCGGGCAACUGGGAGGUUGGGGGUCGGUUAAAGCUUUACCGCUGCACACGCUCGGGCGAUUCCGUACACGAUCAGACCGCCAUACAAACACGCCAUGGGUUGGGCCAGUACCUUCACGGGGAACGUCCGCUUGUGGUGUGGGCGGCUCUCGCUCGUGCUUCUGACCUAUCAACUAGACAGCAGCUGAAGGGACAUGCUAUGGUGACAAC
rnacentral:rRNA from 1 species